rnacentral:lncRNA from 1 species
ACAAACAAACAUACAAACCUGGACCCCGGCAAGAUUAGAGGGAUGAAUUGGGAAACCCGAAAGACUGAACAUUUCUAUGGGUAAGAAGGCCUGUGGAGUCUUGAUAUGUGUCUCAUGCACAGAGAACCUGUUACUGCUGCCUGAUACGCUAAUCACAAAUAAUGUGAGGAGCAAAAAAGUUUGUAGUUCAGCACUGUUCAAUACAAAUGUAAUGUGUGUAAUUUUUAAUUUUAAAAAAUUACAUUUUUUAAAAAAAAAGCAAGUAAAGUUAAUUUUAGUAGUAUAUUAUUUAACUCAAUAUAUCCAACAUAUUAUCAUUUCAUGAACUCUUUUUAAAAAGGAUUUAGUGAGAUAUCUUACAUAUUGUUAUGUCUCUGAAAUCUGCUGUGUAUUUUUUAUUUACAGAACAACUCAAUUCAGACACUGAAUUUUCAUUGGAAAUAAUUGGUCUACCUUUAGUGUUAGUUCAUAAAAUUUACAGUUGAAAGGUAAAUUCAUAUACCCAAAUUGUUCCAAAUAUGCUUAAGCUUUCAGUAGCUGAAUUAAGCAUCAGGAGGUUUGGGGGUGGGGUUUGUUUGUUUUGUUUUGAGGGAUGGGGGCGAUAAGGGAGUAAUUGGGGUUUGGGGGUGUAUUUUUGUUUGUUUGUUUUGUACUGGGGAUUGAGCCCAGGAGCACUGAACCAAUAAGCCACAUCCCCAGCCCUUUGUUAAUUUAAAGACAGGGUCUUGCUGAGUUGCUUAGAGCCUCAUUAAAUCGCUGAGGCUGGCCUUGAACUCAUGAUCCUCCUGUCUCAUUCUCCUGAGCCGCUGGGAUUACAGGCCUGUACCACCUUGCCCAGGGAGUAAUUGUUUUUGUUUUCCUAGAACUGGGGUUUGAACCCAGCACCUUGCACAAGCUAGGCAAGUGCUCUAACAAAGAACUACAAACCUAGUCCUUCAGUUUUUAAGUUUAGAUUUAAACUAUUAAAAUUAAAUAAAGUGGAAAGAGAAAGGAAAGUCAAAAGUCAAUCAUGCAGGAGACUCAUGCUUAUUAGAUUUAUGCCUUUUUCUCAAUUUUGGUAAAAAUUGACUCCUGGGUAGAUAAUAAAGUCAUAGAAUGAAGAACCCAAUCUCACACAGGAAGUAAAAGGUGGAAUCAAUGUCUAAGGCUCUAAAUUUCCUUUGAAAACGGAAAUUGUCUCCAUCAGCUGAAACCCAUUUAGGCAACUGAACCCUGAGAGUACAUCCUCUAGUCUGGAGUUACUGACCCAUGUCUCAGAGCUCAGGACCACUUCAAAGGCAGUCUUGAAAUACGGGAGGACAGAGGUAAACUUGGUCCCUCCCUCACUGUCCAGCAAAGCAGAUAACUUUUUCUGGCCCUCUCCAUAUUUCUUCCCUUCUGUGGCCCUAUCUACUUUCUGACACCAUCUUUUUCCUCAUAACAGUUAAUCCUCAUUUUGUGAACUCAGUAUUUUCAAAUUAAUCUAUUCAAAUUUAUUUGUAUUUCUAUUUCAGAGUGCUUUUGUGGUCAUUUGCAGACAUAAAGUGACAAAGUCUGAGUUACCAAAGAGCACUCAUUCCCAGCUGAGGUCUAACAAAGCAAUGCUCUGCCUCCCCCCCCCCCCCCCCCACACACACAUAUUUUUGUUUAGUUAGCCCUUUUAUUACUUACUACCAAUUCACUCUUUUAACUAGUCCUAUUAUUUAUUUAUUUGUUUUUGUAUUUCAAAAAAUUUAGUUGAUACACAAUAUGUAUACAUAUUUAUGGGCCACAAUACAAUAAUUUGAUACAGGUGUGCAAUAUGUAAUGAUCAAGCCAGAGUAAUUAGUGUUUCUAUCUCCUCACUUAUCAUUACUGUGUGUUAGGAAGCUUCAGACUCUUAUUCUCCAGUUAUUUCUAAAUAUAUCAUAAAUUAAUGUGGAUUAUAUUUACCCUAAUAGGCUAUAGAGCACUCAAAAUAAUCCCUUCCCUCCAAGUGUAUUUUGGUAGUUGCUAUCUGACCUUUCUAUCUCUCCCACCACCUAGUCUCUAGUGACCACUGUUCUACCCACUUCUUCUAUGAGAAUGACAUUUUUAGCUUCUACAAAUGGCUGAGAACAUGUGGUUUUUGUGUUUAUGGGCCUAGUUUAUUUCAGUGAUAUUCUCCAGUUCCAUCUACUUGAUGCAAAUGACAGGAUUUCAUUUUUUUAUAACUAAAUAAUAUUUCAUUGUGUAUAUAUACCACAUUUUCUUUAGCCUUUCAUCUGUCAUUGAAUACCACAAUGAAUUCCAUAUCUUGGUUACUGUAAAUAAUGCUUCAAGAAACACUGAAGUGCUGGUAUCUCUUUGAUACAAUUAUUUAAUUUUCUUUGAAUAUAUACUCAGAAGUAGGAUUGUCGGAUCACACAAUAGUUCUAGUUGUUAUUUUCAGGGAACCUCCAUACUGUUUUCUAUAAUAGCUGUACUAAUUCACAUUUCCACCCAUAGUGUGUAUGAGUUCCCCUUUCUCUUCAUCUCACCAUCAUUUGUUUUUUGUCUUUUUACAAUAGCCUUUCUAAUGGGUAAGAUGAUAUUCAUUUUGACUUGGAUUUACAUUUCCCCAGUGACCCGUGUUGCCGAGCAUUUUUUCAUAAAAUUUUGGGGCAUUCAUUUGUGUAAUUCUGAGAAAUGUGCAUUCCAGCCAUCUGUCCAUGUUUUAAUCAGAUUAUUUGCUUUCUUGCUGUUGAGUUGUUUGCAUUCUCUAUAUAUUCUAAAUAUUAAUCCUUUCUGGAUAAACAGCUUGCAAAUAUCCUCUCCCAUUCUGUAGAUUAACUCUUCACUCCAUUGUUUCCUCUGUUGUGCAGGAGCUUGCUAAUUUGGUACAAUCCUGCUUGUUUAUUUUUGCUGCUGCCCCCCCCCCCCGCUUUUUUCAGCUUUUGUACUGCAAACAAAUGUACUUUUUGUGGUCUAUGUUGUGCCACAUUUUUUGCAUUUUUGUUGGUGGUUUCACUGUUUAUAAUACCCCCCACACAUAGUGCUGAUGGGCUGGCUACUGUUCCUAAGCAAAAGGCUGUGAUGUGCUUUGCAGAGAAAGUACACAUAUUAAAUAAGCUUCAUUCAGGCAUGUGUUAUGGCGCUGAUGGCCUUGAGUACAAUGUUGAAAAAUCAAAAAUAUUUAUCAGGUAUAAGGUGUUUUCAAACAGAAACACAUAUCAAACAAGGUUAUAUCACUAAUUGGCUGAUGUGUCCAUACUUAUACAGUAAACUAACUGUUUUCCUUAGGAGUAAUGAUUCAGUAUUCACUAGUCAGUAUUUGCAGUGACUUUUUUAAACAUAAUUACAUUAAGGGAAUUGAAUUUAGAUGUAUGUGUGUAUAUAAAAUUAACACAUACUUUAAAUACAUUAAUAAUAUAAAUAUACAGGCAUAUAUAGUUAUAAAAAUAUUAGUGCAAUUUUCUAUUUAUUCCUCUUAUGACCUGCAUAUUAGCUGAGUCUACCUUUGUCCCUUGAAAAUCUUAGUUUGGACCCUACCGAUUCCAUAGCCUUUGAACAUCUAAAGUUCUCUCAGAAAUGUUUAGCAAUUCUCAAAUUCUGUUUUUUCCACUCCAUUUCCCAGCCCAUUCCCUAGAGGGUAGCCACUCUUCUGACUUCUAACAGAAUUGAUUUUUGUUAGGCACAGUUUUAAGGCUUUUGUGCAUAUUAAUUCAAUUAAUCCUUACUAUUCCAUUUCACAGUGCGGAUUGGAGAAAUAUAGAAGUUAAAUGGUUACUUGCCCAGAUAGCACUACUGAUAAAUGCAGAGAUGGGAUUCAACCCAGGCAUCUGCUUCCUAAACAAAUAAACUAUGCUCCCAAAAUACAACCACAGCUAGAGACAGUAAAAUAAACUUAUUGGAAAAGAAACGCUAACCACCAAAUUAUUAUUUGCAUAUAACUUCAAAUGUACUCUUUCCUUUUAUUUCUUCUCACUACCCAGUGAGGAAACCACGAGGAUCAGAGAGGGAAAGGAAGGUGCCCAAGAGCCACAGUUGUAGGUGGCAGAGUUGGGAUUGGAGCCCAGUACAAAAUAAAUUUCAUCUUCAUAUUCACAGAGGAAGAAAUUGAGGCCAGGAGGGCCUAAACAAGUUGCAAUCCCAACCCUCCAGAUGGCCCAGCAAAGUGCUCUGCACAAAGAUGAUGUUCAACUUGCAUGAGGUCCUUCCUCUUGACUGAAUGAUUAGAUGCUAAUUGACUCCUCAGAUCACUUGAGGCAGCCUGGAACCUCAACUGUACUGACACUGAUAACAGGAGAUUUAUAGGUGUCUAAGAUUGCCCAGAAACCUAGCAAAUAAAAAUACAGAACAUCCAGUGAAAUUUGAACUUCAGAUAAAUGACAAAUUGAGUUUAAGUAGGUCUCAUGAAAUAUACUUUUAAAAAGUUAUUCAUUUGUUUAUAUGGAAUUCAAUUUUAACUGGGCAUCCUGUAUCUUAUCUGUCAACCCAAUCCAUGAAUUAGACAGACACUGGAGGAAGAAAACAAAAGAAUGAAGGAGAAGAGUGAGGCAGAGUGAGCAAGGAAGAGGCACUCCAAAUUUGAGGAGCCAGAGGGACUGACUUGUGGGUACUUGGUCUGUCCUGACACCCACAACAACCUUAGGAAGGGGCAGAAGAGCACCCACCUGGUUCUGGAAGGUCAGAGCUCCUAUCCACACAUCUGGGUUCGAAUUCUACCUAUGCUGCUCCAUGUUGUGCGUUAUGGAUCAUUCACUUAGUUGAGAGCUUGCUGUUUAUAAAAAAGAAUUGAAAAAUGACACUGAUCACACUAAUGUCACAUACUCAAUUAUUUUUUCCCCAUCCAUAUGUUUGUUCUCUCAUUGUGGAACUCUGUCCUAAAAUGAAAGGAAAUUAAAAAAAAAAAAAAAAGGUUGUGAUGCUUCCAUUAGUAAGGCAGGGUGGCACACACCUCUGAUCCCAGUGGCUGAGGAGGCUGAGACAGGAGGAUUUCAAGUUCAAAACCAGCCUCAGCAACUUAGUGAAAUGCUAAGCAACCCAGUGAGACCCUGUCUAUUAAAAAAAAAAAAAUUUAAAGUGUUGGGGGUGGCUCAGUGGUUGAGUGCCCCUGAGUUCAAUCCCCAAUACCAAAAAAAAAUUGUAAUGCCUCUGAAUGCUGAACAUUUUUGAUGAUCACACAUGACUGGCAGCAAGGAAAAACUCAGAUGGGUUUGAUAAGCAGGACUAUACCCUAAUAUACACAGAGAACUGGCUGUGAAUCCUCUGUCUUGCUGUUCUCCACUUACUCACUGGGUGAUUCUAGCUACAUCUCUUACUCUCUCUAAUCUUCAGGAGUAAUGGAGGCUUGCUGCCAUUCUAUGAGUAGCAGCUAAAAAAAUUUCCCAAGACUGUCCCAAUGUGGUCAGGGGACACAGCUUUUUACUCAGCUCAGCUGCAGUACUUUUCUGGAAUGCUCAUCACUAAAAUUAAAGAGGAUAUGAAACACAUGAGUUCCCUGCCCCUCACUCAACCAUCAUUCCUCAGACAAGUAUGCAGAUAUUAUACAGUCAUCCUGCAGUACCCACAGAGGGCUAGUCCAUGAACCUCCACCAUGAUACUAAAAUCUUCAGGUGUUUCUCAAGUCCCUUGUAUAAUAAUGUAUUAUUGUAUUUGCAAACAGCCUUCACAUUCUCUAGAUUAUUUAUAAUACCUAAUAUAAUAUAAAUGUUAUAUAAAUAGUUGUUGUACUGUAUUUUUUAGGAAGUGAUGACAGGAAAAAUGUCUGUAUGUGUUCGGUAGAGGCUGAAUUAAUCAUCAGAGAUCUAACUACACUGCACAUGAAUGAGACGCUAGGAGAACAGUGCUCAAAUGAGCACAGAAGAGACUGAAGUCUAUGAAAUGCAAGAAGCUGCAGUAAAAUGUGCCUACUCAUUACCUCAUUCAAAUGGAUGCAGUGUUGUGCUCAGCUCAGUAUAUGGCAAAUUCAUGUUCUGCCUUUUAGAACUUUUUAGAAUUUUUUUCUGAGUAUUUUUUAUAUAAGCAUUUGAUUGAAUCUGUGGAUGUGGAGCCCAUGGAUACAGAGAGAUGAUUGAGUAACCACACUAACAAGCCAUCCAAGCACCUGAUGGAUGGAUGCAGUAUGACCCAAAACCCAUUUCCUAAAUGUUCUAAGCACUCUCAAAAAUAUAUACGUUUGCCAGGCACAGUGGUUGCAUGCCUGUAAUCCUAGCAGCUCUGGAGGCUGAAACAGGAGGAUAGCAAGUUCAAAUCCAGCCUUAGCAAAAGUAAGAGGUGCUAAGCAAUUCAGUGAGAACCUGUCUCUAAAUAAAAUACAAAUAGGCCUGUGGCUAGGGCUCAGUGGUCAAGUGCCCCUGAGUUCAAUCCCUAGUGCCAAAAAAAAAAAAAAAUAUAUAUAUAUAUAUAUAUAUAUAUAUAUAAAAGUCACGGAUUAUCUUGACUAUAGGAUUAUUUUAUUAAUAUAAUUUUUAGGAAAUAUAAUGAAAAUUCUGCUUGCCAAAAUAGCAGAAUCCUAUCUGUCUAUACAGUGAAAGCGCAGGAUGUUCAUCGAUGUUCAUUGAUGUUUCCCAGCCUUGCCCAGGGAAAAGGGAUGUGAUAGUAAUGAGAAAGAUGAGUAUUUUGAGUUUAAAGCAUGCAGUUUUGAGGGGAAAAGUAAAUGUAUCCAGGUAUGGUGCCACAUGCCUAUAAUCCCAGUGGCUUGGAAUGCUGAGGCAGGAGGAUCACAAGUUCAAAGCCACCCUCAGCAAUUUAGUGAGGCCCUAAGUAACUUAGCAAGACUCUGUCUCAAAGUAAAAUAAAAAGGUCUGGGGGAGUGGUUCAGUGUUUAAGCAUCCCUGAGUCAAUCCCUGGUGGAAAAAAAAAAUGUAACCUUGCACUUAUUUGCAACUUGUUGCCACAGAUAUUUUAGUUCUUAGUUUUAACAAUAUGUAUACAACACAGAAGAGCCUAGACAAAAAAAAAUGUUGAAUCUAGACAUAAAAGGGCCCAAUCUAAAUUUGUUGCUUGAAAAAAUAAACAAACCAAAAAAAAAAAAAAAAGUUUGCUUUGCUAAAUAAGGCAAAGUACCACUUAAAAGAGGACCAUGUUUGCAAUGACCCUGAGGAGUAAUCCUGUUAAUAAGCGUUAAGCCUCUGUUUCUUAUGCUGCAGACUUGAGAGAAAUAGACCUGUGAAGAUAAUGUUUGGAGUGUGGAAAACAUAGUAAAUAUACUGAGUCUGGUCACAAGCCAGGCCUACAAUGUUUGGAACAUGGGGAUCCUAUUAGUUUAAUUAAUAGGCCUUGGCUUUCCUAAACCCAGUACCCUUGGAAGAACACAAGCAGCAGUCAGUGCAAGAGAAGUCACCAUCACUUUCGUUGCUGGACAUACCCACCCUGAAGAAGAGACUCCAGGCCAUGGAGAAAUGCUGGCAGCAAAGAUUGACAGUGAGAGGAAUCAUGCCCUGCUUUGACUUAUGUCUGUUUCAUCCUCUGUAAAUAAUUCUUUGCUUAAUGCUCCUCAAGGCUUAAUUUGUUUUAUUUACUUAAGCAGGUUAGUGGGAGGAAACAACUAUUUCUACAACUGAAAUAUAUAGUCUUGCCCCCAUUCCAGGCUAAAUAUAGGACUUAAUCCCCUAUAAGGUGCCCAAAGAGUCAUUGGCUGAAACUGAACACAGUUACCAUAGGGAAACCCCACAGCUUGUCCAUGUAGGGUGCAAGCCUUGCUGGACCAGAGUCUUGAAAAAAGAGGAUUGUCCGAUUAUCCCAUGUGAUCUGUCCUCUCAGAGUAGCCUGCUGUGCUUAGUCCUUGUGCUCCCCAAGUUAGGGACUCCCUUUUUCAUUCCUCAAUCAAUUGGGGAGGGAUCUUUAGAAUAAGGGGAAUAGGGGCUGGGGAUGUGGCUCAAGCGGUAGCGCGCUCGCCUGGCAUGCGUGCGGCCCGGGUUCGAUCCUCAGCACCACAUACAGACAAAGAUGUUGUGUCCGCCAAAUACUAAAAAAUAAAUACUAAAAAAAAAUUCUCUCUCUCUCCCUCUUUCUCACUCUCUCUCACUCUUUCUUUAAAAAAAAAAAAAAAAAAAAAAGAAUAAGGGGAAUAAAGAAACAAGAUUUUUCCAGGGACAGUGGCAUGGAUCUGUAAUCCUAGCAACUUGGGAGACUGAGGCAGGAGGAUCACAAAUUCAAGGCCAGCCUCUGCAACUUAGUGAGUCUCAAAAUAAAAAUAAAAAUGAUCUGGGAGUGUAGCUCCUUGGGUUCAACCCCCACUACCAAAGAGAGAGAGAGAGAGAAGAAAAAGAAACAAAAUUUUAAGUAAAAGAGGGAGGGAAGGAGGUAGUGAAGAAGAGAGAAAUUAGUUAAGAUUUAAGUUAAAAUCACAGAAAAGAGAGUGGAUUAAAUAUAUAUCAUAUAUACAUAUAUACAAUGAAAAACAGUAAAAAAAAGCUAAAUGUAAAAUCAAAUUUAACAAGCUGAUGCCAAUUUAAUAAGAAACUGAUGGUUAAAUUUAAGAAGUAAAACUGGUCUUUAUUUUGUCUGUCCUCUAUAAUCUAUUUCAUGUUGUCCAUGCUUUUAACCAGUUUGCACCAAAUGAACUGACCCAAAUCUUACACUUCAAAAGUCUGAACCUUUGGUGAAUUAGGCUGGAAUUAUGCGAAGUGUAUAAUUAACCUUUACCUCCAGACACACAGUAUAAGCCAUCAUAAAAAUCAUGUCUCUGACAUCCUAUCCACAUUCCUCCAGGCCUUUGUUAAAAUGGGUCCUAUUCAAGUGCCACUUUUGUGCACUGAACUUAAGUCCACUGAGCUAUUCUCAGAAUGAGAGCCUUCACCACUAUGGACCAUGCAGCAAUGCUGGGGACACACCCACAUACUUCUGAGGCUCUAUGCUUGCAAACCUACCUGCCAGAAUCCAUUUCUCUUCUAGAGAGGGAUGAGUUGGUUGCAAGGAACAGAAAUUAUCUCAGUUAACUUAUGUGAAGAUGGGUUUAUCAUAAAAGAAUGUUGGCAGCCAACUCAGCUUCCAAAGUGGACUGUUGAAACAAUUUAUUGAGUCUGGAGCUUUUCCUGAAUUAACAAAAGGGAGGAGCCAUUAAAGGAUAAUAUAGCUAAUUUAUUAUUUCAAUAGCUUCCCAGGCAGAACAGGAAAGAAACCAGACCUCUUUUCUGCACAAUAAUGGGACCCACUAACUCUGGGGAAAAGGCAAGAUGUCCUUCUAAUUGAGGAAAUAUAUCCUUUUUCAAUAUGAGUUUAGACUGUACUCUCUAAAAAUUAAUGUCUGUUCCUAGGAGCUGUGCAUGAGCUAAUAUAACAACUCUAUUAAUCAAAUGAACUAACCUGAAUCCUGCUCACACAUAUGGGAACAGCAAAAAGGAAAUCUAGCCAGGAAAAUCUAAACCCGCAACCAACUACAGACCCAGAGGCUCUUCUCCUACCUAUCCCACCCCCACCUGCACCCCCAUACACACAAUUUUGGGAGACAUGAGUGGCAAGAGACAUCAUUUUUAACUAGCCUAAGUACUGAGGAUCCUACUUCAACUUGACACAUGCAAAAUUAAGACACUGGGAUAGAGUAGGAGUGAUGAAUUAGAGAGAGAGAGAGAUCUAAGAAGUAGCAUCCCUUUUUGUGAAUACGUAUGGGAUUUUCUCCAAGCCAAUUAAAGUUUCUAAGGUACUAAACUUAAAAACGAGGUCCAAGGAAAGAGAAAACUGUAAAUCUAAAAGCCAGGGAGCUUGUGAAGGAUCUGAAUCUGUAGGUACCAUCCCUGUGAGAAGUGAAGAGAAGAAUCGAAGUUAGGGGUGCUUUGUUCUCUCCUUGACAUUGAAGCACCCUUCUCAAAUUGUCUCAACUCUCCAGUCCAAAGUCCCAGACACCCUGAUACCCUCACACCACACACCCACUCAGGCUACCCACUUCCCUUCUUUUCACUUUGAUUUUUUCUCAAAUAUCUGGGAGCCAACACCACCUUCACCAAUUUUCACAAAGAAAUGCACUCUGUAGAUUUUGAGAAUUAGUCAUGGGAAGUGUGACAUCAAUGUCACAGAUUCUAUCCCUACACAUACACACAAACACACACUUACUUCCUGACUUCCUUUUCUUCCUCUCCAGAGUAAUCGGCAAAUGUUUUUCCUUUCUCUUGAAGAUGUUUGGCCUAUUGGUUUAGUCAGAUUUUUUGCUGUUGUGACUAAAAGACCAGACCAGCACAACUGUAGAGGAGGAAAGGUUUAUUUGAGGGCCCACAGUUUUUGAGGUUCUAGUGCACACAAGGCUGGCUCCAUUCCUCAGGGCUCAAGGUGAGGCAGGACAUCAAGUGGAAGAGUGUGGCAGCUUACUUGGUGAUCAGGAAGCAAAAAGAGAGACUCUGCUCACCAGAUACAAAUAUACGCAAGGUUAUGCCCCAAUUCCCACUUCCACCUUACUACUUCAGCUACCAUUCCCCAUCAGUGGAUUAAAUCAGUGAUUGGGUUAAGACUCUCACAUCCCAAUAGUUUCUCCUCUGAACCUUCUUGCAUUGUCUCACACAUGAGAUUUGGGGGCCACCUCACAUCCAGACCAUGACACCUAUGCUCAGUUUCCUUGUUUUAUCAGCUUUUACCUAAAAUGAGCUUGUCCUGAAAAAACUACAGUAUGAUCAAAUCUGGUAAGUAUUAUUUCCUCCUUCUCAUAAACCUAGGGUCAAAUGACCAUCUUACAGAAUCUAAGGACAAGAAAAGUCUGCAGACUAGACUAAGGUCAGAGAGCCAAGCCUCUCCCUCUGAUCCUCUAGAGCCUUCUGACCUUUUAUUCCCCUCUCUUUUCUAUGUGCCUGCUCCAUUCUGCUUCCUCUGAAUCUGGGCUUCCUGUGGCUACUUUCCAACAACACAUGGUGUUAAAAUGGCCAUCCUAAUUCAGCAAAAUGCCUACCACCAAAUGAUUUCAGUAAUUGUGUCUUAAUAGAAUUUCUUUUCUUUCUCUUUUUUUGUUUGUUUGUUCGUUUUGUUUUGUUCUGAUUUGAUUUUUUUGUUUGGUUGUACCAGGAGCAUGCUUAACCACUGAGCUAUAUUCCCAGCCCAUAAAAUAUUUUUUAUUUUAAGAUCUCAUUAAGUUUCUUAGAGCCUCACUAAAUUGCUGAGACUGGUCUCAAUCUUGAAAUCCUCUUGCCUCAGACUUUAGUUGCUGGGAUUACAGGCAUGAGAUAACACACCCAGCCUUUUGUAGAAUUUCUUGAGAGAGGAAGAGAAGGAACAUACAACUGGAAGCCUUGGCUCAGAUCUAAUCAGCUGUUGCCAGGGGGUGAGGGAAGGAGAUAAAUAUGGUAUAUACAGUCAAUUCUUCCAGAAUCUGUGGGCAAGGUAGGUACAUGGAAGUUUUCUUGAUCGAAGUACCUAGCCUACUUAUCCUUAGUUUUCGAAGGGUUUGGGACUCUAAUAAAUUAGACCCUGCCCAAGUUCUGAACCAAUUGAGGGGGGAAAGAAAAGCAAACGAAUAAGACAAAUGAGAGAUUAAGAUAACAUUACUAAUAAAGUUGAUAUUAACAAACAUGGCCUACAUAAUUUAUCAAAUGGAUUUCAUAAUCUUGAACCCCAAGAUUAAGAAGACUAACUCAUCUACUCACAGAAUGUACAAGAAAAUUAUAGCUGUCCUCCCCUUUCAUUUAUAUAGAUGAAUCAAUACUGAUCACGAAUUGAUAAUUAUUAAGGUGGGUUAUGAGUAUGGAUCUUUAUACUAUUGCAUCAGUGUCUCUCCCAUUUUAGUACUCUGCACCUAACACCUUUUGGGGAAAAGUUCAAUCAUCCGCUUAUAUCUCCUCCUUCCUCUUUCAGACAGAAAUACCUGAAGGAUUUCUGUUUUUCUUCAAAGUUUAAAAAGUUGCCAUAAUGCCAUCUAGAAAGGUCAUUAGGCCUUUUCUAAGGGAUUUUUCAUUCCCAUCCUGUCUGCUCAAAUUUUUCUAAAUUCAAUAUCUAUUGAGCCCAAAGCUGCUGGCACUGGAUUACACCCCAAAUACGUGCCUGUCCUGACUUCCAAGACUGGUGCUCUGGAGUGUUGGAAUGAGAGAAAAAGGCAUUUUUCAUUCUGUUCCCUAAAGUGGCUGCAGCUACUACCUCCUGCGAGUAAUUCUUUUAGGCUCAAGAAACCUGCUUCCUAGGGACGUUUCUCCCUACUCUCUGCAUUCAUUCCCACUAGAGAAAGACCGUUCCCAAUUCCUGAACUGAAGAUGCUGUUAACAUUUGGGAACUUGGGCCCCAAUUAGUAGGGUAAUUACCUUGGAUACAAGAUUUCCAGCGCUAAAAUGAGGAAAACCUGAAUGGAUGGUCAACUAGCUCAGGCCUAAUAAAUACCUGUUAGUAACUCAGCCAUGAUCUUCCUCAAGACAGUGUCUUUUCUUGCCUUCUGAUUAGUCCAGGCCUUGAGAAUCAGUUCUUUCUGCCACUUGGACAUUUCUCCUCCUCCUCUUUCCUCUUCUUCUUCCUUUUCUUCUCCUAUACUGGGGACUGAACCCAAUGGCACCCUACCACUGAGCUGUAUCGCCAGCUCUUUUAAAUUUUUAUUUUCUUUUUGAUUUUGAGAUAGGGUCUCACCAAAUCAUCCAGCUUAACCAUUGAUCCUCCUGCCUCAGCCUCCCAAAACUGAGAUUAUAGUCACAUGACACCACACCUGGCAUCCGCAUUAAUGUUUUAUCUUGAAUAUGCCUUUUCAUAGAUUCCUAAUUCAUAAAUAUUUCAGGCAUAAUCUCUCAUAUCUAAUCUGUUUAUACAAUAACCAUGUUACCCAGAAACCUCUGACAAUACUUUAAGUACUUUACAAUGAUCUUCCUUGUCUUUCUCUCCCAAGUCUAUUCAGUUUUUCUGUAGCUAGCAAACACAUCUGUUGUCUUUAAGGGGUAGGUCCCCAUUCACUCAUGCUAUGAUCACUUCCUCCCCAAUGCUGAGAAAAUGUAGCAGUGCCCUAGAUCUGGACCCCUUUUGAGUGAGCUGUUCCAGUCAACUCUGAAAUCUAGACUUUCUUAUCUUGUUAGAUUUACUUGGACCCUUAUCGCUAUUUCUGAGUUAAUAAUAACUCAGUCAUCUCACACUUAUAUGAAACCCUCUUUAAAAACAAUUAAAUGGGGCUGGAGAUGUGGCUCAAACGGUAGUGUGAUCGCCUGGCAUGCGUGCGGCCCGGGUUCGGUCCUCAGCACCACAUACAAAGAUGUUAUGUCUGCCGAAAACUAAAAAAAAAUAAAUAUUAAAAAAAUUGUCUCUCUCUCUCUUUAAAAAACAAAAUGAAUGAUUUAAGAAAAUAAAUAAAAACAAUUAAAUGCAUCUCUUUUUCCUAUUUUUUUUCUUUAUCUAUCUUGACAUUAUCAACACAUUGUAAGAGACAGAUCUUGAGUCUGAGAUAAGCAAUAUGAAUCCAAGGUUAUUCUCUCCAUGGUUGCCAGCCAGGGCAACUUAGUAAGACCCUGUCUAAAAAUAAAAAAUAAGAGGGUAUAGGUAUGCAGUUUGGUGGUAGAGUAGUGCCUCUGGGUUCAAUACCCAGUGCUGCAACAAAAUAAUAAUAAUAAUAAUAAUAGUAAUAAUAAUAAAUUUUUCAAGUAAACUUCAGCCGAGUAUGUGACACAUGCCUAUAAUCCUAGUGACUCAAGAAGCUGAGGCAGAAGGAUUACAAGUUUGAGGCCAGCCUCAGCAGUUUAGCAAGGCCCUCGGCAACUUAGUGAGACACUGUCUCAAAAUAAAAAAUAAAUAAAAGGGCUGGGGAUGUGGCUCAGUGGUAAAGCACCCCUCGGGUUAAUCCCCAGUACCAAAAAUUUAAUAAAUAAAUAGAGUGAACCUCAGAAAUAGAGAGGGGCUUGCUCAUCUAUAGAUCUUGCUGGAAAACUGAGAUCUCCCUAUUGGAGAAAGCUCCUUUAAAUUAUCCUACAGAACACGUUUCUGUGGUCGUCCCAGCUGCCAAAGAAAGAAUUAGAGGAACAGAACCAAUAUGCUCAGUUUGUUCUUCCCAAAUUUAUCAUUCAGCUGUCUUUGACUUCUCCUCUGCAGAGAGAGGCCAGGAGUAUUACCUUAGAGGAGCUCCUUCCAUGUGAAAUGAACUCUUGAGACUGGGGGAAAGCACUUUUCUGUGCAGUGGUCAAAUGACUCAUCCUAGCCAACACUAGGAUACCCUUUUCCCUUCCUGUCGUGUGUCAUGACAUGAUAAAUGUAAAAUGACUGGUUUCCAAUCUCCAAUUUAGUGGAAUCAUUUUCAUGAUCCCCUAGUGGAAAUAUCCUUGACUUUGGUAGCAAAAUAAUCUUAGUGUCAAGAAGCCAAUAUAUUUUUAAUAUAUAUUUUUUUAGUUGUAGAUGGACGCAAUUCCUUUAUUUUAUUUAUUUUUAUGUAGUGCUAAGACCAACCCAGUGCCCCACAUGUGCUAGACAAGCGCCCCUCCACUGAUCUGCAGUCCCAGCCCCAGGAAACCAACAUUUUGAGAAUGACUUUUGAAGUAUAAUUAUGAAUGACGACACUCUUAUCUUCACUUCCCAACCUAGACCUGUGUGUACAGACUUUGGGAAAGAACACUAAAGAGAGCGAUUGAGAGAGAGAGAAAUCUGACAGAACAUAAAUCACCAUCAACAAGAUAAGUUGCCAAGCUCACAAGAAAUUGUUCCCCAGCUUUUGUCUAAGCUGAGCAUCAUUUUUCUGUACCACCAGUGACUUCAUGAUAGAUCUGUAUUUGCUUUUCAGGGCUACCAUAACAAAGUACCACAAAGGUGGUAGCUUAAAACAACAAUUCAAUGGAUUUAGUCUCUGAGUGUGAAGGAUAAACUCCAAAUCAAGGUCUCAACAAGGUGCACUGUCUCCAGAGGCUUGAGUGAAUCCUUCUGUGCAUCUGGUGGCUCCUGGCAAUCCUUGGCAUUCUUUGACUGGUAGUUGUAUCGCCUCAAUCUUUGCCUUCAUCUUUACAUGGCUUCCUAACCUCUGUCUCUAUGUCUCCAAAUCUCCCUCUACUUAUAAGGGCACAACUCAUUGGUUUGGGGGGACCUCCUUAAUCCAAUAUGACCUUAUCUUAACCUAACUUCAUUGGCAAGAACCCUAUUUCAAAAUGAGGUCACUUUUAACAGUCAUCACAGUCAGGACUUUAACAAUAUCUCUGGAGAGACAUAGUUCAAUCCUUCAUAGGUUUCAUGCUGAAAUCAAUGAAUGGCAUGGAUAUUGGUCCAUUUUCUUCUUUUGCUGUGAAAUAAUUUCUUGAUAGAGCUAUGAUACAUUAUUUCUAAAAAUGAACCCAAUUUUUUACCCCUCCCUAUAUCAAUGCCCUUUGAAAUGUGAUUUUUCAGUUCUUUCCAUCAAGAAAUAGAGCCUAGCAGGGUGCAGAGUCUCAUACCUGUAAUUCCAGUGGCUCAGGAAGCUGAGACAAGAGGAUCACAAGUUCAAAGCCAGCCUCAGCAACUUAAUGAGAACUUGUUUGAAAAUAAAAAAUAAAAAAAUGAGCUGGAUAUGUGGCUCAUCCCCAGCUAGGUUCAAUUCCUGGUACAGGAAAAGAAAAAGAGAAAGAAGGAAGGAAGGAAGGAAGGAAGGAAGGAAGGAAGGAAGAGGGAGAGAGGGAGGGAGGGAAAGAAAGAAAGACUACUUCCUUGCUCAAUGAAUCUACAUUGGCCUUAUUGCUUGCUCUGGGUAAUUGAAUGCAGCAGAAAUGGCAUUGUGCCAGUUCUAACCUACGACACAAACUUCAGUCUCUCUUUUGGAACCCUGAUCCUGCCAUAUAAAUAAGCCCAUGCUAGCAUGCUGCAUGGGAAGAGACACAUGGCCCAGUCUCCCAUGUCACUGCAGCCAUCAGCCAGCCAACCAACACACUUGGGUGAGUGAGGUAAUUCUAGACCAGUCAACUCCUAGCCAACUCAGAUGGCCCACAGAUUCACAGUCAAAGAUAUAUGAUGGUUGUUUUAAACUACUGUUAAGUUUUGGGGUGGUUUGUUACAUGGCAUUGGGUAACUGAUGAUAGGAGUUAAGAGAUUAUGUGAUUCUAUGGCAAUAGAUAAGGCCUUUAGUUAGUUCACAGAUAUCAGCACUGGUAGAAUCAUGACAAUUAGAGAAGAAAUACUCAAAUUCAGAAUAAGUGUCUGUUCCUAUGAGGAAUUCUGGACACUUACAUAAUGAUGUUAAAAAAAAAAAUCCAACUGGUACCAGUAGCUGGCUGCCCUUACAAUGCUGCCCCAUAAUAUGAAUUGAGAGUUUGUCAGUGUAAACUGGCAAUUUGGGAACUUGGCAAUGGCAGCAGCCAAAUGAGAUUUGGCCUGGAAAAUUCCAUUAUGAAUCCAAACCUAAUUAACAUCCCUGAUCCCAUUGCCAAUUUAUUCAUGAAUCCACUGAGCAAAGAUUGGAAAGGUUGGAGAAGGAGGUUUGAUUGAUGUAGCAAACACAUCGUGUCCCAAUCCACAUCUUCUUGUCUCAUCUUUUUCUCCAGGCAUUGGAAACCAGCUUCCUGCAUAGAGAAUCUAUCAGCAGUUUGACUCAGCUUCACUUUUUGCCCAAGGAACACUCCUGCACAUUCAACCUGAAAGCUAAAGCAGCUAACACCCAGGGGCAAAUCUUGACCAGUGAAGAAGAAGCCUGUGAUCAGCUAGUGCAAGGAGCACUUUAUAGCUAUUCUCAGAAGAUCCUGGAAGAUUUAGCUCAGUUGCUCACAAUAGUGAUUGACUCAAUUAUAUUCCUAAACUGGCUCUUCCUCCUGCUUCACUGUUCUCUGCCCUCACUCCUGCUCUGGGAUCACUUCCCAAAUCAAUCUCCUCCUCAAAAGUCCUCAUCUCAGCCACGGGAUGGUGUAUGGUGCAGGGAGAGGCACUGAAACUGAAGGCGGAGGAGGAUUCCCAGAAGAAGACAACUAACCCCCACAGAGUGAGUCACUCUGCCUACCUACUCAUUAAGAAUAAAAACCAUAUGGAAAGCAUUCGUGAAACAAGAAU